GGGUGAUUAGCUCAGCUGGGAGAGCACCUCCCUUACAAGGAGGGGGUCGGCGGUUCGAUCCCGUCAUCACCCACCC
rnacentral:tRNA from 7 species